AUUGAACGCUGGCGGCAGGCCUAACACAUGCAAGUCGAACGAAUAGAGGACGGGCGAGUAAUGCUUGGGAAUCUGGCUUAUGUAGGGGUAUAACGACGGGAAACUGUAGCUAAUACCGCUUACCAUAGGAUGAGGCCAAGUGGGAUUAGGUAGUUGGUGAGGUAAAGGCUCACAAAGCCGACGAUCUCUAGCUGGUCUGAGAGGGUGACCGGCCACACUGGGACUGAGACACGGCCCAGACUCCUACGGGAGGCAGCAGUGGGGAAUAUUGCGCAAUGGGUGAAAGUUGACGAAGCCAUGCCGCGUGAAUGAAGAAGGCCUUCGGGUCGUAAAGUUCUUUCGGUAGAGAGGCGGUAACUACAGAAGAAGCACCGGCUAACUACGUGCCAGCAGCCGCGGUAAUAC
rnacentral:rRNA from 1 species